rnacentral:rRNA from 1 species
GAGCGAAGCGGGAAGAGCUCAAAUUUAUAAUCUGGCACCUUCGGUGUCCGAGUUGUAAUCUCUAGAAGUGUUUUCCGCGUUGGACCGCACACAAGUCUGUUGGAAUACAGCGGCAUAGUGGUGAAACCCCCGUAUAUGGUGCGGACGCCCAGCGCUUUGUGAUACACUUUCAAUGAGUCGAGUUGUUUGGGAAUGCAGCUCAAAUUGGGUGGUAAAUUCCAUCUAAAGCUAAAUAUUGGCGAGAGACCGAUAGCGAACAAGUACCGUGAGGGAAAGAUGAAAAGCACUUUGGAAAGAGAGUUAACAGUACGUGAAAUUGUUGGAAGGGAAACGCUUGAAGUCAGACUUGCUUGCCGGAGCUUGCUUCGGUUUGCAGGCCAGCAUCAGUUUUCCGGGGUGGAUAAUGACGGUUUGAAGGUAGCAGUCUCGGCUGUGUUAUAGCUUUCCGUUGGAUACAUCCUGGGGGACUGAGGAACGCAACGAGCUUUUUGCGAAAGACUCGUCUUUUUCACGCUUASGAUGCUGGUGGAAUGGCUUUAAACUACCCGUCUUG